UCUUUCCAUCUUCAGUCUGUGUGAAUGCAGUAUUAAAGAGAAACAGUGUUUCAUCCUGACUUCAGCUCUGAAAUCAAACCCAUCACACCUGAGAGAACUGGACCUGAGCCGGAAUGAACUAAAAAACACAGGAGUGAAUCACUUAUGUGACGUACUGAAGGAUUCACACUGUAAAUUGAAGAGAUUGAGGAUAAGCUGUUGUUAUUUGGCAGAUGAAGGUUGUUCUGCUGUGACUUCAGCUCUGAAAUCAAACCCAUCACACCUGAGAGAACUGAACCUGAGCUGGAAUGAACUAAGAGACUCUGGAGUGAAAAACCUCAGUGAUCUACUGAUGAACCCACAAUUCAAGCUGGAAAUUCUAGCUAUGUGUAAUUGCAUGAUUACAGACAAAGAGUGUCUCAUCCUUACUUCAGCUCUGAAAUCAAACCCAUCACACCUGAGAGAGCUGAAGCUCAGUGGGAAUCAACUAGGAGACUCUGGAGUUGAAAACCUU